AAGUACACCUUCUAAAUCACUGGACAAAAUUAAUUCAACCUUUCCCCAUUGGAUACACAACUGCUUUUCAUUUCAGAAGCGAAGGUACACCACUGACCAGCGUAACGCUCAAUAGUGGCUUGUUACCUAUUCUCAUCAAAUCUCUUUGUAAUAAAUAAUGUCUUGCCAUAUGUUGCUUUACCUUGUUGCCGGUGCUGUUUUACAAGCUUGAACCAUCUGGAGGAAGUUCCAGUGGACAGGUAAACUUCUAGUUGUUUUUUUCAAAUGACAUGUUCAUCAUUUUAAAAGUUUACAGUUGUCUGAAAUGACUGGCAUCAUGUCUCUUUUUUUCAGAGACUUGGUUUUUACCCGCCACAAGGACCAUCAUUUUUUCCUCAGAUCCUGUUUCCCCCACCUCCACAACUGCCCUUGAUUCCAAUACCUUUUCCUUUUCCUUAUUAUCCAAAUCAGGUCCUGACACUUAAUGAUCUUAUAACGGUAAAUAUAUCUGCCCUGUUAAUCUAUAAAGUUCAUAGACAUAUUACAUUCAACUCCCUUUAUAAGAUAGGCCAGCUCAUCAUAAAAAUUUGUCUUUAUUAGUCUAAUUCAUUUGGAAACAAAAUAAAUCACAGCUAUUAAAUUCAAAGUCAAAAAACAAUCUCAGUUCAUUUCUACAUUCUACAAACAGUGCUACAUUCAUUAUUCAAUUCAUACAAACUAUAAAUUGACAAAACAACCUUUUCCAUCACUGAUGAGGGUGAAAGUGAAGAGUCAAAAGACUUAGACUUACAGAAUAAAUUCCUUUUGGAGAAAUGAAAAAGACUUAUUUCUUCACUAAUGAAACAUUAGCAUAAACACAUUAUACAUUAAAGAUUAUCAAAGCUAAGUUCCAAUAGAUAAUGCUGCUUUUUUUUGGAUGAAAGGCAGACAAUUCAAUUUUUUAAUAAGGCCCUUUAUUGAUACAGUAAGUUAUUCAGAAUAUUAGUUCAUGAAAACAGAGGAGAAAUACUUGAGUGGAGUUACAAAAGAUAACACUGGAAAAUUCCAUUUCCUUAUCUAAAAACAUACUU